rnacentral:tRNA from 1 species
AGUUCUGUAGCUCAACUGGAUAGAGUGCCGGUUUUCUAAACUGGAGGUUAGAGGUUCGAUGCCUCUCAGAAUUACAA